rnacentral:piRNA from 1 species
AGGUCUAGUAGAGAUAAGUGUAGA